rnacentral:lncRNA from 1 species
AGGGUUAUUGUACUUGUAAAUUUUACGCUUUGAAUUGUUUUUCAAGUUUUUUUUUACUGUUAUAGGGUUAGAGUUGUGAUGAUGAACUGUGUAUGCAUUGUUCUAGACUAAACUGUGUUAGUAAUAUGAUUGAUAUAGUUCGUGUUGUUGUUUGCUGUGUCACUGAGACUUAUUGUUUGUUUGUCUUUUUAAUUUGUUUCUUGUACUGUUAAGAAUACAUAAAUUAUAUUAAAGUUGUUGAGAGUACCUUUUGUUUCAGGAUAUUUUUUCUCCAGUUUAGUUGUGGAAGUUGUGUGUAUUAAGUAAUAAUUUUUAUUAUCCUUAUUAUGUUUGUUAUAUGUUUUUAUUUUAUUUUUAAACUUGUUGCUCUUAUCGGACCUUUAAAACAAAUACAUGAAGACUUGUAAAAAUAACUAUAAAAUGAGUGAC